UACGAAGGGGGCCAGCGUUGCUCGGAAUCACUGGGCGUAAAGGGUGCGUAGGCGGGUCUUUAAGUCAGAGGUGAAAUCCUGGAGCUCAACUCCAGAACUGCCUUUGAUACUGAAGAUCUUGAGUUCGGGAGAGGUGAGUGGAACUGCGAGUGUAGAGGUGAAAUUCGUAGAUAUUCGCAAGAACACCAGUGGCGAAGGCGGCUCACUGGCCCGAUACUGACGCUGAGGCACGAAAGCGUGGGGAGCAAACAGG
rnacentral:rRNA from 1 species